UGUGACGUUACCAAACUGUUGCCUCGGCGGGAUCUCUGCCCCGGGUGCGUCGCAGCCCCGGACCAAGGCGCCCGCCGGAGGACCAACCAAAACUCUUUAUGUAUACCCCCUCGCGGGUUUUUUACAAUCUGAGCCAUCUCGGCGCCCCUCGUGGGCGUUUCGAAAAUGAAUCAAAACUUUCAACAACGGAUCUCUUGGUUCUGGCAUCGAUGAAGAACGCAGCGAAAUGCGAUAAGUAAUGUGAAUUGCAGAAUUCAGUGAAUCAUCGAAUCUUUGAACGCACAUUGCGCCCGCCAGUAUUCUGGCGGGCAUGCCUGUCCGAGCGUCAUUUCAACCCUCGAACCCCUCCGGGGGGUCGGCGUUGGGGAUCGGCCCUUUACGGGGCCGGCCCCGAAAUACAGUGGCGGUCUCGCCGCAGCCUCUCCUGCGCAGUAGUUUGCACACUCGCAUCGGGAGCGCGGCGCGUCCAUUGCCGUAAAACACCCAACUUUCUGAAAUGUUGACCUCGGAUCAGGUAGGAAUACCCGCUGAACUUAAGCAUAUCAAUAA
rnacentral:rRNA from 1 species